rnacentral:rRNA from 1 species
UUGCGGUCAAAUCACGCUGAAACACCGGUUCUCGUUCGAUCACCGAAGUUAAGCAUCGUAGAGCCAGGUCAGUACUUAGAUGGGGGACCGUUUGGGAACACCUGGUACUGUAAG